GACGAACCGUGCGAAUGUUGUUCGGAAUCACUGGGCUUAAAGGGCGCGUAGGCGGGCUGUCAAGUCUGGGGUGAAAUGCCGCGGCUCAACCGUGGAACUGCCUUAGAUACUGACGGCCUCGAGGAAGGUAGGGGCAUGCGGAACUGUAGGUGGAGCGGUGAAAUGCGUUGAUAUCUACAGGAACUCCGGUGGCGAAAGCGGCGUGCUGGACCUUUUCUGACGCUGAAGCGCGAAAGCUAGGGGAGCAAACGGG
rnacentral:rRNA from 1 species